GAUGAACGCUGGCGGCGUGCCUAACACAUGCAAGUCGAACGGACAGACGAGGGGUUUGCUCCGCUGACGAGUGGCGCACGGGUGAGUAAAACAUGUGUACAACUCACCUAGAGGAGGGUAAUAAGGCGGAAACAGGGUAGAUAACGCCGAAGAACAUCUUGAACCACAGGGGGCAAUAGUGAAAUACGGCUUUUGGGUCAGUUGUUGAUGGAUCGGCGCCUGAUUAGCUUGUUGGUAGGGUAACGGCCUACCAAGGAGACGAUGCGUAAGGGAGCUGAGAGGGUGAUCGGCCACACUGGAACUGAGACACGGUCCAGACUCCUACGGGAGGCAGCAGUAGGGAAUUUUGGGCAAAGGGCGAAAGCCUGACGCAGCAACGCCGCGUGAGUGAUGAAGGCCUUCGGGUCGUAAAGCUCUGUUAUUAGGGAAGAACAACUGUGUCCGUAAAUGUACAGGUGUUGACGGUACCGGAUCAAAAAGCACCGGCUAACUACGUG
rnacentral:rRNA from 1 species